rnacentral:rRNA from 1 species
GGCGGUGUUUUAGUCUAGUUAGAGGAACCUGUAUUAUAAACGACAUAACACGCAUUAUUUUACUUAUUUUGGUAAACAGUUUGUAUACCGUCAUUAUUAGAUAAUUUAUGAGAAAAUAUUAUUGGGAUCAUAUUAUUGAGUAUAUUAGAUCAAGGUGCAGCUUAUAAAUAAGUAGAUAUGGGUUACAAUAAAAUUUAUUUAAUAUGGAUUUAAUAUUUAAAUAUGUUUAUGAAGGAGGAUUUAAUUGUAAGGAAAGGAGUAGUAAGAUUUUCUGAUAAAAGCUCUAAAUUAU